CUGGUUAAGAGUUUGAUCAUGGCUCACNACGNACGUUAGGUCGGCGAUGCCUAAUACAUGCAAGUCGAGCGAACAGAGAAGGAGCUUGCUCCUUUGACGUUAGCGGCGGACGGGUGAGUAACACGUGGGCAACCUACCUUAUAGUUUGGGAUAACUCCGGGAAACCGGGGCUAAUACCGAAUAAUCUAUUUUACUUCAUGGUGAAAUACUGAAAGACGGUUUCGGCUGUCGCUAUAAGAUGGGCCCGCGGCCGCAUUAGCUAGUUGGUGAGGUAACGGCUCACCAAGGGCGACGAUGCGUAGCCGACCUGAGAGGGUGAUCGGCCACACUGGGACUGAGACACGGCCCAGACUCCUACGGGAGGCAGCAGUAGGGAAUCUUCCACAAUGGGCGAAAGCCUGAUGGAGCAACGCCGCGUGAGUGAAGAAAGUUUUCGGAUCGUAAAACUCUGUUGUAAGGGAAGAACAAGUACAGUAGUAACUGGCUGUACCUUGACGGUACCUUAUUAGAAAGCCACGGCUAACUACGUGCCAGCAAGCCGCGGGUAAUACGUAGGUGGCAAGCGUUUGUCCNGNAAUAAUUGGGGCGUAAAACGCGCGCCAGGCGGUCUGGCAAGUCNGAUNUNAAAUUCCCCGGGCUCNACCUGGGAACUGCUUUCGAAACUG
rnacentral:rRNA from 1 species